rfam:Picea glauca, whole genome shotgun sequence.
AUGUACAUUCCUACAAAGCGUUAAUUCACCGGAUCCCAUUAGAACUCCUCAAUUAAUCACGCUCAGGCUAGAGUAGUACUACGAUGGGUGAUCGCCCGAGAAGUCCUAGUAUUUUACAUG